UACGAAGGGUGCAAACGUUGCUCGGAAUUAUUGGGCGUAAAGCGCGUGUAGGCGGCCGUGCAAGUCGGGUGUGAAAGCCCUCGGCUCAACCGAGGAAGUGCGCCCGAAACUGCAUGGCUUGAGUACCGGAGAGGAUGGCGGAAAUUCCCCAAGUAGAGGUGGAAAUUCGUAGAUAUGGGGGAGGAACACCGGGUGGCGAAGGCGGCCACCUGGACGGUCAC
rnacentral:rRNA from 1 species